GAUGAACGCUGGCGGCGUGCUUAAUACAUGCAAGUCGAGCGAACAGACGAGGAGCUUGUUCCUCUGACGUUAGCGGCGGACGGGUGAGUAACACGUGGAUAACCUACCUAUAAGACUGGUAUAAUUACGGGAAACCGGAGCAAAUCCGGUAUAAUAUAUUGAACCGUAUGGUUCAAUAGUGAAAGACGGUGUUUCUGUAAGUAAUAGCGGGAUCUCGGCUGUAUGAGCUGGUUGGUAAGGUAACGGCUUAUCAAGGCGACGAUGCGUAGCCGAACGGAGAGGGUGAUCGCCCACACGAGAGCUGAGCCACGCCCCAGACUCCUGCGGGAGGCAGCAGUAGGGAAUCGUACGCAGUAGGCGAGAACCUGGCAGAGCAGCGCCGCGUGAGUGAUGGAGGUCUUCGGAUCGUAAAGCUCUGUUAUUAGGGAAAAACAAAUGUGUAAGUAGCUAUGCACGUCUUGACGGUACCUAAUCAGAAAGCCACGGCUAACUACGUG
rnacentral:rRNA from 1 species